AAUGAUUAAUUCUUAGAUUUUAUCGAACGUUAAUUUAUAAAUUGUUUCUGUCUUUAUGCGUUUGUUUCAGAUUAUGCAAGAUGAAAUUAUUCAGUCAGCAAGACACUUGCUGCAGUUGCUGACAUCAUCCAACCGAACUGCUGCUGUGAUGAAUCAUAAUACAAGAGAACAGAGUCAAGGUGGCCAGGGUACCAGCUUGGUCAACCCUGACCUGUCCAACGUGUCCAGUAUGUACAGUGCUCACAAUCACCAACUCGGGAUCAGACUCACCACACAGGAAGUACCUGUGCACAAACAAACAGGGUCAAGUAGCACACACAGACGCAACAGAAAUGAUGCCAUGCUUUUGCUAACUGCUUCAGUUCAACAAUCCACUGAAGAUUGAGCCUCAGCCACUGCCUUAACUAAUGUCUUUGUCAACCAGGUGAUCAGGAACAGGUGGCACUUCAAGACAGGUGUGCACAGUCAAGGACGGGAACACGUGAUGAAUCCCGCCCAGAAACAACAACCUUUGCGAUCACCUGCGUCUGUGUUUCAAAAUACAAUUUUCAAAUAAUCGAAACUGUGUAACAAAACACAAAACACUUUACUUUACAUCAAUACUUUGGUCAGUACUCCCAUGCAGCUUUCAGAUAAUCUUGAAUCAUGAUUAAAUUAUGUCAUCUCAACUUUUUAUUUGACACACUGAUCAUCUUUUCACCAGCUAUUAAUGCUGGACUCUGCUGUGAAAUGAAGGGCGUUUGACCUUUAGCGAUUUUGCAGUGCUUUGUUUGAAACAGUAAUGUCUGUGAUGACAGUGGUGUCAAGCACACCCACAUCUUCUCUUACUGCCUGUGAACUUCUGACUCAUGGUGUAAUAACUGUUUGAGCUGCAAUGACUUCACUAUGAUUUCCUUCACUUCAGAGACUCAGUUUUUGCCUGAAUCGCUUUCAGUGGUGUGGGUAUUUAGUGUGAGGAAGAAGUGGCCUGUAACAUCAUUAGUAUACAUCCAGACACAUUAACUCCACGUUGUUAAUUAGACUAUCAACAGGCAUUAGCCUCUGCUAGUGUUCCAGCCUACAAAGACCAAACAAUGGGCAUUAAUGGACUGACACUCUGAUAACAUUCCGGUGAUCUCUUGAUCUGACAGGUUUCCGCAAUCACUGAUGAUGGAGGAGGAAGAGCAGGAUGCUGAUGACCAGCAGCUGCAGAGUUUGCCAACCUGAACGUUCACGCAGGUUGUCCACCCCUCCCUGAAGCCCACCGAAGCCCACUUCAGUGGGCUAGUUUCAGUCAUUGUGCAAAUGUACUGUUUAUAAAGUUGCAGAAACCUGCAGUCUGCUGAGACUGAAUAAGUCACUUGGAUGAGUGAUGAAACGUUUCUCCCACUGAAAACGCGAUGUCCAGAUGAACAGAUUCAACCUU